rnacentral:rRNA from 1 species
AGUGAACGCUGGCGGCAGGCCUAACACAUGCAAGUCGAACGGCAGCACAGUAAGAGCUUGCUCUUACGGGUGGCGAGUGGCGGACGGGUGAGGAAUACAUCGGAAUCUACUUUUUCGUGGGGGAUAACGUAGGGAAACUUACGCUAAUACCGCAUACGACCUACGGGUGAAAGCAGGGGAUCUUCGGACCUUGCGCGAUUGAAUGAGCCGAUGUCGGAUUAGCUAGUUGGCGGGGUAAAGGCCCACCAAGGCGACGAUCCGUAGCUGGUCUGAGAGGAUGAUCAGCCACACUAGAACUGAGACACGGUCCAGACUCCGACGGGAGGCAGCAGUGGGGAAUAUUGGACAAUGGGCGCAAGCCUGAUCCAGCCAUACCGCGUGGGUGAAGAAGGCCUUCGGGUUGUAAAGCCCUUUUGUUGGGAAAGAAAAGCAGCAGGUUAAUACCCCGCUGUUCUGACGGUACCCAAAGAAUAAGCACCGGCUAACUUCGUG